AAAAAUGGAUGGAACAAUAACCCAUCUUGCUUACAAUUUAUGCGAACAAUGAGAUUAUUGCUCCACACCAAAAUUGACCAGGGAUCCGGGAAUUGUAAAGUAUUAGACGCCACCACUGUUCUUAGCGUACCAAGCACUGCCACACAUUUGGAACAAUCAUUAGAUGUACCUAUCAUUAUACCGAAAAUAUAAUUAUGCUCUUGAGCCAAAAGAACAAAUACUCGAUCAUGAUUAUGUGUGCAGUGAAACAAUUGAAUUAAGUGAAAUCUUAUCAAAUGUUGUCACUUAUAUAAGUGGAUAUGUAAUUAAGAUGUUACAAAGGCGACAUAAAUGUGAAGAAUGUGUGCUGGCAUGUGAAUCGCAGGAAGACAUUAGAGAAGGUUCCUAUUCUCUAAUUUCCUUUAAAAACAGAGGAGGCUUAUAUGUACCAUCAAUUGCAGUGGUGAAAAUUUGCACAAAAGUAGAGGUGGCAAUUAGAAAUAUCAUGCAUUCAACUGGAAACAAAAUUCCAAAUGAAAAAGGUUUCAUGGAAUAUUUUGUCACCGCCAUUGCACAAAAAUUUUACCAAGAACUGUACACGUUAUUUCCUAGUUUGCAUGAGCAUUUUUUAGAAUUUAAUAUUUGUGACGAGAAUCACGGAUUUUUGCUUAUCAAAAAUAUUAUUUUUUCAUAUUGUAGAAUAAGGUUUUUUAAUUUGGCGAAAAAGUACACAGAAAAAAUACAAGCGAACGUAUGACGUUGUUUGUGGUCUUGACGCUUCAGUUCUUGGACUAAUUAUUAGCAUUGUAGGUAGUUUCACAACUAGGGAAUGUAUCGAUGCAUUGUGAUAUAGGCAACACAAUAUACUUGUUCAACAUGUUAGGAAACGCACAGGAACUUUUUGAAAGCACAUUGUAUGCAGUUUUUAACAAGCCCCCGUAGCAUAUACUUAGAAGAUGGCGACAUUCAUAAUCUGACUAUUGCGCAUGUUGACACGCAAUCUCCCCACAUCUAUAUCUCUGUUAACACCUUUAUUCAUAUUUCAAAUUAGGGUUAUGUAAUUAUUUGUAAAUUCGUUGUUGAGCCCACCGCUCCUAUACUAGAUAUAAAUACAACUUUAUUUGUUACGGUCAACUUGAGGAACUCUAGCCGAUUUUCUUCUGUGAGGUAUGUAUGAUAACGCUGCGGCAGUAUGCACUUGAAUGUCUCCUUUUCAACCAUAAUUCGAUCUCCAAACUUGGUGCCGAUCACACCGAUAUCAGUAAUUGGGUAUCGUAUUUAUUUCCGAUUUCCAGAUCUUUUGCAUUUAUGAAUGGCUUACAAUAGGUAGAUGAGUUCAAGGAGGCGAAAUCAAAUUCUUCCAUUAUUAUGAGCAGUAAAUAUCUGUAACAAAUAAAUAAGUGAAAAAAUGAAUAAUCUAACUGCUACUUAACAAAAUUAGUCAUUAAAAUCGUACUCACCAAAUAACGCCGCAAACUAGUUCGCUCGAAGCACUGGCUGAGACGUUAACUGCACUCGGAUUUUAUUUCAAUCUUUAUCUAAUCAUAGCGGAAGCAACGUCCUGUCAGUGUUUCUAGAAAUUUCUGAGCGGAAGCAGCAUCGUGUCUCUUAUCUACAUCGAAAUGUAUUUAAGCUGACGCAUUUCAAUUAAGUCAUUGCAUUUGUAUGUGCAUGUGAGCAGAUUGUCUCAACUGCUACUACUUCAAAGCAGAAAUCCUCUUUUAAGCAGCGAAUAUCUGGUAAGAGUGUUUUAUCUUAAAAGGCCUUGUGACCAUAGCGAAUCCUCAUAUAAAUAUGUUGAUGCUUCUUCUCAAUUUCAAUGUUAUUUAAUACAAUUAUUUCAGCACGUUUUAAAAAAAAAAUCAUAAUGGAAGAUAUCGAUGAAGCUUUUGUUGAUACUGUGUUUGCCAGUUUACCAGUUAUUGAUGGUCAUCGUCAAACUCUCCGCAUUUCUCAAGAAGAAGAAAUUUUGCUGUCAGCAGGUCUAGUGCAAUUCCAGUUUGUAAAUACUACAGAAGGCGUUUCCAAAUUAAUCUAUCACCAUCAACCUAGGAGUAUUGAAGACAAUCAGCGCAAUUGUAACAUUAAACCAAUUUAAAUUACGAUCAUUUCAACAUGAAAAUUUAUUCGGGUACAUCCACUUACCUGAAAGUGUUUUAAAGUUUUUAAAACAAUUAUGGCAAGCAAGAACACUAAAAAUUAUCUGUGCAACCGAAAUUUAUGAAACGUUAUCUAACAAUCGUUUAGUUAAUCGAAUUGAACUGGAUAAACAAAGUCUACGUAUGUAUCCUCAACUAGAAUUGGAAAGUUUGCCGUAUCAUAGAUUUUAUAGACAUGUAAAUGUAGAUCCUACAAAAAUUGAUUUGUUACAAUACCAAACUUACCUUGAUAGCUGUAGUUAAAAUGGGUGUAAUAAAUAAUAUUCAAAGAUUAA